UAUUUUGGACAAGGGCGCGAGCGGGAUCCCGCCACCCCGCGUGCAGGAAGAAGGCCUUCGGUUUUAAAGUUUUUUUGUCCGGAGAGAAAUAAAUUUUUUUAAUACCGCGGGGGAAUGACGGUACCCGAAAAAUAAGCCCCGGCUAACUAUGUGCCAGCAGCCGGGGUAAUACGGAGGGUGCGAGCGUUUUUCGGAAUUACUGGGUGUAAAGCGUGCGCGGGGGGCUUUAUAAGUCAGAGGUGAAAUCCCGGGGCUCAACCUGGGAACUGCCUUUGAGACUGCGAGUCUAGAGUGCGGGAGGGGGGGGGGGAAUUCCGGGUGUAGCGGUGAAAUGUGUAGAUAUGGGGGGGAACCCCCAUGGGGAAGGCGCUCCUCGGGGCCCAUAGUGACGCUGAGGCGCAAAAGCGUGGGGAGCAAACAGGAUUAUAUACCCCGGGAGUCCCCCCCCUAAAAGAUGUCAACUGGUGUUGGGCAGCUUGCUAUCAGUAUCGAAGCUAACGCGUAAGUUGACCGCCUGGAGACC
rnacentral:rRNA from 1 species